rnacentral:rRNA from 1 species
GACGAACGCUGGCGGCGUGCUUAACACAUGCAAGUCGAACGAAGUGGCGAACGGGUGAGUAAUACGUGAGUAACCUGCCCUCCUUUUUGGGAUAAGCCUUGGAAACGGGGUCUAAUACCGAAUAAAGGGGGAUGGGCUCGCGGCCUAUCAGCUUGUUGGUGGGGUGAUGGCCUACCAAGGCGGUGACGGGUAGCCGGCCUGAGAGGGUGACCGGCCACAUUGGGACUGAGAUACGGCCCAGACUCCUACGGGAGGCAGCAGUGGGGGAUAUUGCACAAUGGGCGCAAGCCUGAUGCAGCCAUGCCGCGUGUGUGAAGAAGGCCUUCGGGUUGUAAAGCACCACGGAAAGGGUUCCGUUACUCGCAGAAGAAGCACCGGCUAACUCCGUGCCAGCAGCCGCGGUAAUUC